UUAUGGCCAUAUCAUGUUGAAACAUCGGUUCCCAUAAGAUCACCAAAGUUAAGCAAUGUUGAUCUUCGUCAGUAUCUAAAUGGGUGACCACUUGGGAAUAUUAGAUACUGUAAG